GAUGAACGCUGGCGGCGUGCCUAAUACAUGCAAGUCGAACGAGGUGCUUUUGUAGCAAUACGAGGGUAUCCUAGUGGCGAACGGGUGAGUAACGCGUUGGUGACCUGCCCCAAAGUGUGGGAUAACAGUCCGAAAGGAUUGCUAAUACCGCAUGUGGUCCUCGGAUUUAGAAACCGAUGACUAAAGCCGCAAGGCGCUUUGGGAGGGACCUGCGUCCCAUCAGCUAGUUGGUGAGGUAACGGCCCACCAAGGCUACGACGGGUAGGGGACCUGAGAGGGUGGCCCCCCACAAUGGAACUGAAACACGGUCCAUACACCUACGGGUGGCAGCAGUAGGGAAUAUUGCACAAUGGGCGAAAGCCUGAUGCAGCAACGCCGCGUGAGCGAUGAAGGCCUUCGGGUCGUAAAGCUCUUUUCUGGGAGAUGAGAAAGGACAGUAUCCCAGGAAUAAGUCUCGGCUAACUACGUGCCAGCAGCAGCGGUAACACGUAGGAGGCGAGCGUUAUCCGGAUUCACUGGGCGUAAAGCGCGUGCAGGCGGUUCGGUAAGUUGGGCGUGAAAUCUCCCGGCUCAACUGGGAGAGGUCGUCCAAUACUACCGAACUUGAGAGCGAUAGAGGAAANUGGAAUUCCCGGUGUAGUGGUGAAAUGCGUAGAUAUCGGGA
rnacentral:rRNA from 1 species